UGUGUGCUUCCUCUUCAGCUCCCUCGCGCACCUUACUGAUGCCGGAGCCGGAAGAUGACGUCAUCUUCCGGCUCCGGCAUCAGUACGCGGCGCGCGAGGGAGCUGAAGAGGAAGCACACA
rnacentral:miRNA from 1 species